CUAAAGAGCUGGGGUAGGUUUCCUAAGGUAUUCAUUGUUGUCUCUUGUUCCACAGGAGUCUUUUCAAUGAACUAGAGAAAGGAAAGCACAUCUUCCCAUUUAGAAGUCCACAUUCCCAUGGGCGGAAUAUUUUACAGGAUCCCUCCAAUAGAGCAACAGAAGUGUGCUGCCUAAGAGACUGGGUCAACAGCCUGGUCUGAGCAACCAAAGGUUACAGAGAGCAGCAGUAGCAGCAGCAACAGCAGCCAAGGGCCAGGCAGCUGUCAGGAUCCUUAUCCUGGGCACGGGCAGGCACCAGCUUGGAGGGGAUGCCUCACAUGGCCACUUUUGGUGUCAGCAGCAAUGGAGACAUCAGCCCAGGAAGAACAGGUGAGGAACAAAGUGGCAGGUGCCACACAUAACUACAGGGUCCCUGUGCUUGGUAUCUAUGUGAUAAUCACUGAGGAAUCCCAGGUUUGGG
rnacentral:lncRNA from 1 species